ensembl:lncRNA
UCAUUCCAGAGAGAGCAUUUCCAGUGGGAGGUCACAGGACUGUGGUGGGGACUUUGCUGGCAGUAGCUCUGUCUCUUGGGGGAGGAACUUGAGUGAAGAGGAAAGAGAGAAGGAUACGUCUGGACAGUUUUCAGUAUUCAUGUUUGGCUCCAUGCCUUGAAGUGGACAGAAAAAAGAACUCAGAACAUUUUAAUUUAUGGGCCAAACAAAAGGUUCCUUUAAUUAAAAUUUAGGAGCCAAUUUCAACAACCGGUGUUUGGAAGGCAGCCCGGAAGAAAGAAGACAUUAUGCUAUGACAAAAUAAACUUGAGAAAGUCAAAAUCCAUUGGUGAAAUGAAUAAAAUAAUGUGAAGAGCAAGCCAGGGAGCAAUGGAGGAGACAGUAGAAGCUCUGCUGAAUGCAAAAGACUUAAUCCCAAGAGAGGUGUGUGAAAUUUCACAAGGUUGGAGCAAUGGGUCAGAUCUUCAGCUGCUCCAGGGCAGCUUUGGGAGGAAGAGGCAAGCCCUGUCUUUAGUGAUCCUCUUAACCCUGGCAAAGAAUUAUCCUAGCCCUUAGCACAUUUUUGCUCACAAAUGUACUGUUUGCUGUGAUUCAUGUCUCUGGGAAGGGACAAGACACUUCACAGCAGGAGAGGACUCCAGAGCAAGGUUGUUCCAGGCAGAACUCUCACCCUCUUGUAAAACUGUGGGAUGGAGUAAUGUGGGGGGGGUGGGUUCAGCCUGUGCCUGUGACACAGAGGGCUGAAGAUACUCAAGAAGUGUAUGACUGUUUUGUGCUCCCAGCACAACUAUAAAUAGAAGGGACAGAAGUGCCAGGAUUUAGGAACAGAUCAAUAGAAAAUAAUUAAUGUUUGGUCUCAGCAACAUUUUGUUCAGUCAUGUGAAGGUUCUGGGUAACCUAGACUCUCCUUUGGGUAAUUCCCAUCUUUGUCCACUGUCAUUCUUCUUUUUUUUUUCUGUGCUCUACUGAAUAGUGUCUUGCCCUGCCAGCAUACACUCAGCAAGGAGUUAAUAAUAAUAAUAAUAAUAAUAAUAAUAAUAAUAAUAAUAAUGAAAAAGACCAUUUUCCUAUCAUUGAUCGUAACAUUAUCCUUUUUACAUCUUCAACAGACUUGUUUUCAGUAUGCAGCAGACCCAACCUACUUACCUUCUUGUCUAACUGUUUCUAUGAUUACUUUCACCCUUGUGUUGAAGGUCAGUUCUGCAUCCCAUCUCAGUUUCCACUAGACCCUCCCCUGCUGCAAGACUCCUUUACUCACCUGGAUACAUUUCAAGGCCAGAUUUUCAAAGAUAUUGGAGCACCUAAAUAUGCAGAUAGUCACCUACUGGAGAUCAACAAAAUGGUCAAACUGGUAAGGCAUUGAAAAGCAACAGUGAAUUAGGUUCCUAAAUCAUCUUCAGGCUUUUGUAAAUCUAACUAGCUAUCUCCAUUCCUUUGCAAAUCUGUUUUAAUGCCCUUUUUAUCAUAGACUUCUAAGUCACUCAGUUACUUUUGGAAAUCAGACCUAGCAAGCAUACAUUUUGUGAGUGUCAUCCAGAAAGGCGUAUGAUUACAUCUGGUACGUCAAUUUCCAAAUUCUGCUUGGGCAAUAUAAGUUUGCAGUGCAUCCCUGUAAAAAACAGAGUACUGUGUUCUCUGCUCACGUAUAAAAUAUGCAAUCAGAAUAUGUAUCUAGAUGCAAAUAAGUCUUGAUGCUAAUGCAUUUGCACUGCAAUUCCUUUCACAGUCUGAAUGCCUUUAAUUCCCUUUACCAGAUGCAAUUCCUGCAAAGAAUUGGCAAAACAGUUGCAAUUAAAAAGACAGUCUCUAAGCUAUUAGGAUGAAAAAUCAAUCUUCCCUGACUGUCAUCUGUAAUCCCCAGCUUGCAGGCGGGCAGCCGUGUAAUUAUAUAUCUAUACCACACACACAUACAUGCACUCAUUCACACUUUUUCUAUAUUAGGAUUGAUAAUUUACAAUGACCAAAACGUAAUUUUCAGAAUGAUAGGAGACUCACCUUUUGA